rnacentral:antisense_RNA from 1 species
CUUCAGCGAACCGAGCCACAACGGCUCGCCCUCGCCGCGCUCCUGACCGUACGUGGCCAGCAACGCCUGCGCCUC